GCUCUGCUGGGCAGAGGAAGCAGGAAUUCACCGGUGCCUCUUCCCCUUCUGGUGCUGGGCUGGGGACCACCGACCCUGUGGGCCUCGUGGCCAGGUGGGCGUCUGUCCUGGAGAGGCGGAUCCUGGGCCCAGGAGUCCCCUACCACUAUUCAUCUGGCCAAGACUGGAAGAGCAGCCGUGCAGGGGCUCAGGCUCUCAUGCCCCAGGACACUGAGUCAUGAGGACGCUCCCGAGUCCUGGCCAUACCAGACUAACCAAGUCACAGUGAG
rnacentral:lncRNA from 1 species